CCAAAAUCAGAGCCUGACACAGAGGUAGCAAGUGCACUUUCUUUAUAACAAGCAACAGAGGAAACUCGAUUAGAACAAGUUUUCCUCAGAAGAGCCACCAUUAAGAUGGGUCACAUAAUAUCUGUAUUUGUCAGGGAGCUGCCUGCUUGGUAUAUAUUUGGUGGGAUAUUCCUACCAGUUGCAAUACUUCUCCUUGGCAUCAUGCGAUAUUUAUGGAUACAGCUUGAAGAAGGUAGGUUUAUUGGUCACAAAUUGCACCAUGACUGCCGUUUCAAGGGAUAUUUUCCACAACUGCCAUGCUAAUAGUCUUGUAAUCACAAAACUGGCUUUGCAUCAUGGUAGAUACUCCAAAAGAUGGUAAUGAUUGUUUAGGUACCAAAAUAAGAUAAUAUCCUUUUAUUACGUUAGUUGUUAUAAUAUAUUCGUAUUUCAUUGGUCUUUUCCUGGAAUUAUUUAUGAUUAUGUAAAAAUAAUGUUACCGAAAAACUAUAUUUAAAGAAAACAAAAAUAUUAUAACUAAUCUUAAUAUGUAUGAUGUUAAAAUGAUAAAUUAAUCUAAAAUUUCACCUCACCUGCAUAUGUGUGAAAUUAUGCUGAUUGCUGAUGAUAUUGCUGAUCUUUUAGUUAAUUAUGCAAAUUAUACUAUGUAUUUCAUAUACAUUUUAUGUAAACUUUCAACUGCACCUGUGUGUUAAUUAUGCUGUGACAUUCGAAGUAAAACACAAAUGUAUUAUGUUGUGAAAUUUAGUAUAGAUUAUAUCAUAUUUGUGGGUGUUUUGUUUGGUGUUUGUUUCUGUUUUGUAUUUGGUUAAUAGAUUUUUCCCAUACAGUAAUUAUGAUUAAGGCAUCUUUAAAUAGAAUUAACACUGGAGUUAGAUUCUCUACAAUUGCAAUUACAUUACUGGUUUUAUAAAUUUGUCACAAUUUAAAUUACCAUUGUUUAUAUGAAAGAGUUCUGAAAAGAUUUAAUCUGCAUCUGUUUAGAAAACCUGCAGGGUCAUUCAUUGAACGGGAAAAGUUUAGGAAUUUACUUGGAAGUUUGAUGGAAGGCUUCGACGAUUGUUCUCAUUCUGUUAUUUUGGCCUAUCAUUUAAAAUUUCUGGUCACUUCCUAGAGACUUUGGAUUAUGUGAUUAUUGUUGCAGGGGUAAUAUGACACUACUUAGUGUUAGGCUAACGUAAUUCACUAAAUUCAGAAUUGUAGUGAAUUGAAAUCCUAAUGUCAAUAUUUAGGUUUGGAUAUCCAUGCUGAAGGGCAAAGGAAUAGGACUAGACACAUAAAGAUGGUUCCGGCAGAUUUAUUAGAGUCCAUUCAACUUUAUGGCAUUAAAAAUAGUAUUUCUUGAGCUUUGCUCUGCUGGUCAAUUGGGCUUGUUUUUGGCAUUGACAAGCGGCAUCCUGAUGCUAUUUACAGUAAGUGCAUCCUAUUCCUUUAUAUAAGAUAUCCAAGCUUUGACUGUAACUAAGUGGGAGGCUUUUUCCAUAUCAUAUUAUUAAACCUUCCUUAUACUAAUAUGGGAGUCAUAAUUCCCCCAUAUGCUUAUCCUUUUAUUUUAUUUUUAUUUUUUUAAAUGACAACUGGCUCACUAAAGCUGGUUAGCUGCAACAUGUUUACGCAACCAAGGGAAUUUUUAUUAAUAUUUGUCUGUUGGCUACUAGUGCUUCCAGUGGGCAAAUAGUGGGAUUUUUUUAAAUUGGGGGGGAGGGGGAGGUUGGGAAGGGGAAUAUAACCAUUUUGGUUCAUCCAAAUGUUUCCUAAAAUAAUUGUCUGGAUGAAAUCUCUAUGUAUAUAUGUGACUUUAUGUAUAUGUAUGAGUCAAUAAUUUCUAGUAUUGCUAAGUGAAUAAAAAGUAGGCAUGCACAUGGAGAACUAUUUUUCUGGUCAUUAGCUCAGACACAUUUUUUUAAUUUUUUUUUACUGAUUUUAAUUCACAUGCAUAUUGUUUUAGGCUGAAAGUUAUUUAACAUUUUAACUAAUUUUGUUCAAUAAUUAAUAUCUGUUGCAUAGGACUUAAGUCAGGCAGGAUUAAUAAAAAAAAAAAUAAACCAGUACAAUAAAUGAAUAAAAUAAAUAAAGCAAACAAUUAAAUGUAAUAUUGUAUUUUAUUUAUUUUUUCUUGUACAAAAAGGCUAAUGGGUGGUUAUAGCUAAAUAGCUAUGCAACUUGCAUAUGUAAUAAUAUGCGUAUGCACUGCAAUUGCCUGCACACUUUGCAAUCCGUUCAAUGCACAGUGCAAAUACACAGCCAGUUUAAAAUAAGAGAUGAAAGUGAGCUAAGAAGGGACAGAGGUGGCAGACUGGUAGAUGGGCAGUCACUUUUUUGUUUUUCUACAUUCUUUAUUUUUAUUGUGCUUAAAUGUGUUAAGGACAAAUUAACAUUAGUAUAAGUAAAAGAAAACAACAUUAGCAAGUAACACAUCCCGAAGGAGGCAACCGCCUCGACUAUUAGCCCAUUUUAUGAGUCCUAGUAAAGAGGGACCCCUCUUAUUUUCAAAUUAUACCGCCUCUUCUUCUAUAGCAUCCACUUUAUCAUUGGUGGCAUAUUGUUGUUUUUGUAGGCCCUCAUGUUUUUGUUCUAUGGAGGUUAUCCUGGUAUCAUGGAUGCUUGUAAUUGCCUUCAGUAGGUUGAUCCGAGUAGUAGUGCCCUCCAUGGUGUCUUUGAUGUAGGCCAUGUCAGGUGCAAUAUUUGUUCUAAGCUCAGCCAGCAUCUGUAUCAGCUGCUCCGCCAUGACCGGAUCGCCAUCAGAGGGUUUCCUGAUGAGUGGGCCCCUUGGCAGGCUAUGGGAUCAUCCUGCUCCCAGAUCAAAGAGGUUAUCCUCUGAGGAGCAUGAUGAUUCUUCCUCCUACAGCCCCAUCUUGACCCAGGGCAUGCGCUGCAAGCUUCACAGGAGUUCUCCUAUAUCGCGGGUCGUUGGGCCCUUGUGACACCCUAAAUUUCUUAUUUUUUCACCCCAUGGACACUUCCCACAGUGGGGAAGGGGUCUAUUAGUCCGGUGUGAUCCUAAUUACUCCACCAAAGCCUCAAUUUCUCAGCCAUUAGACUCAAAGCUCUCCGUUAAACUGCAAACUCGACCCCAGGCAGUCACUUUAAUAUCAGGAUCCAGUAAACCAACAAAACACUACUGUGCUUUACAGGAAGAAUCAUUGCAGUGGAACACUACAUCCAACAACCCCUAAAGGGACAGCGAAAGAUGAAUCAGAGGCAAAUAAAGAAAGGUGGAAGACUGACAGAAAGGAGUCGCUUUUUAUUAGGUCCCUGCAACAGUGCUAAUCAAAUGCUGCAGUAACUAGAAUCCACUGGGCCAAUGAUGUGUAACUAGAAUCCACUGGGUGGCCCCUCCUCAAUGGUGUCUUAUUCACUCCCUCCAAACCCCCCCAUCCCCACCCCCCCGGUGUCUCAUUUCUCCCUGUCAUUUUAUGUGUAUGGCCGUCCAGUAAAUGUACUCCAUUACUCAAGAUCUUAGGAUUUCCAAUUGAUCCACUUGCCAGUGGAGAUAAGCUUGCUGUUCUUUUUUAUAUGUAAGUGCAACCUUGAAUUAAAUAUCUGUUCUUUGAGGAUUAGUCUUUUGGAAGACGCUAGCCAUCUCAAGACACCCCCGAGGGGAGAUAGGCACAUAUCAUUUAUCAUCUUGUAAGUUCUCUACCUCCUGGAGCAAUCGUCUACUCAAUAUGUAUUUCAACGUAUUCAGUGGUUUUUUUACUUCUAGUUUAUAUAUUAUCUUCACACCCAUCCUGAUUCUCAGGUUGUAUCCAUCUUUUAUAUCCUUUGUGUAUUUUACAACCCCCUACUUUAUACUUCCCCAUGGGGUGUAUAAUUUUUGUGUUGGUUCAUUCCCCUCAGUGUCUCUUUCCCAUGCUCAGCCCCCCCCCCCCAUGUGUCUCAUUCCCUCGACCCUAUAGCCCCUCUAUGUGUCUCAUUUCCUCGCCCCCACCAUGUGUCCCAUUCCCUCUCACCUAAGCCCCUCCAGGUUUCCCAUGCACUCCUCCCUCCAAGCCCCCUCCAUGUGUCCAAUUUCUCCCUCUGCCCCUCCCUGUGUCCCAUUUCUACCUCCCUCCCCCCUCCCUUCUAUGUGUCCCAUUCUUUGCUCUCUCCCUCUCCCAUCCAUGUGUCCCAUACCCUCCCUCUCUCCCCCUCCCCUCCAUAUGUCCCAUACCCUCUCUCACUCUUUAUCUCCCUUCAAUGUGUCCCAUACCCUCUCUCACUCCCUUCCAUGUGUCCCAUAUCCUCUCUCACUCCUUUCCAUGUGUCCCAUAUCCUCUCCACCCCCCCUCCCUUCCAUGUGUCCCAUUGUUCCCUCUCUCCUGCUCCCUUCCAUGUGUCCCAUUGUUCCCUCUAACCUCCCUCCACUCCAGGUGUCCUUUACCUCCCCCCCCCACCCUCCCUAUGUCCCAUUUUUCUACCUCUCUCCCCCUUCCACUCUUUUGUCCCAUUCCUACCUCUGCCUCCCCUCCAGUACCAGCAUUUCUCUGCCACGGCUUCCGGUCUGACAGAAAGUGCUCUCUGUCUGCUCGGCCAGGCUACAUAAAGGCAAGAGGGGAGCAGCACAGCACAGCUCUCCCCUCCUGACAGCCGGCAUCAGGACCUUCCUUUGUAUAUCACAAACAUUCUGUAUACAUGCAGCAUAUUAAUUAUGUAUACAUGCAGGAUAUAUAUUCUAUAUACAUGCAUGUGAUUUUCCUCUGUACUACAUUAGGGAGGAUCUGUGUUCACUAGAUGGCUUUCCUAUUUUGGUAUCCUUAAAGAUGGAAAUCUCACAUUUAGAACAUGUGUCGCAUAUAGUUACAAAACAUUAUUCAACCCCCAUUAAAAAUCUGCUUUAUUGUCAAAAUGUAUAGACAUUCAGCUGUUUGCAAUGAACAAAUCAAACAAAAGCAAACAGUUCAAUACAACAAAUGCUUCAAGUGGUUUCCACAAAUUCAACUGAAAAUGCAACUUAUAAUGACUUCUCCAGUCUCAAAAUUAUCCAACUCCUUCAUGACAAACAUACUUAGUAGAGCACCCGUUUGCUGUUAUGACCUGCUGAAAACGAGAUGCAUAGCCAGACACCAGAUUCUCGCAGCUUUCCAAUGGCCUCCAGUUCAGUAAUAUUCUUGGAUUUGUGUGCUGCAACCACCUUCUUCAAAUCCACCAGAGAUCUUCUAUGGGAUUAAAGUCAGGUGACUGCGAUGGCCACUAUAGAAUUGUCCAGGACUUCUUCUGCAACCAAACCUUGGUAGACUGUUUGCUUGGGAUAAUUGUCUUGUGGGAAGUUCCCAAGCUUUGCCCAAGCUUCAGUUUGCCCAAGCUUCAGUUUCCUCACAGAAGGCAUGAUGUUUUCUCCUAGGAUUUCCUGAUACUUCAAUGAAUUCAUCUGGCCUUCCACACACAGAAUCCCCAAACAUCUGUAGCUUGGAGUUCUGGCAUGGAAACGUUUUGUGUUCAGUAUUUGCCUUUCUGUGCUCACUGAAACCUCAAUGCCUGUUUCCACCAAGACUUACUGCAAUUAUUUUGCAGUCAGUUUAUAUAUACACAAAAUUACAUAAAUAAUUUCUUAAAUAUACAUUUAGUCCAGAGAAUUUAAUUUGCUAGCACUGUAUUUAACCUUGUAACUUUCAAUGACACCCUAAAACCUGUACAUAGGGGGUACUGUUUUACUCGGGAGACUUCACUGAACACAAAUUAGUGUUUCAAAACAGUAAAAUAUAUCACAGCGAUGAUAUUGUCAGUGAAAGUAAAGUUUUUUGCAUUUUUCACACACAAACGGCACUUUCACUGAUAUAAUUGUUUCGAUACGUUUUACUGGUUUAAAACACUAAUAUUUGUGUUCAGCAAAGUCUCCUGAGUAUAACAGCACCCCAUCCAAAUAUAAGUGUCACUUUUUUAUAUUGAAAAUUGCCAGGUUGUAUGUCUCUUUCACCCCAUCCCUUCUGCAUGUCUCUUGCCCACAAAACCCUUUUGUGUAUCUUCUUCCACUUCACCAGUGCCUCUGUGUGACUCUUUCAUCCCCUAUCCCCAUUGUAUCUCUUCCUCCCUAAACUCCAUUGUGUGUCUCACCCCCUACCCAUUUGUGUGUCUCACCCCCUAUGCAUUUGUGUGUCUCACCCCCUACCCAUCUGUGUCUCACCCUCCCCUCCACACUUCUGUGUGUCUCUGCCUCCACACUCUGUGUGUCAUUUUCCCCACGGUCCCUAUGUGUGUUUCUUGUUCCCCUUCUCCAGCCCAUCUGUGUGUCUUUCUCCACCAAGUCCCUUUUGUGUCUCCCCCAAGCCCCUUUUGUGUCUCCUCCCAAGCCCCUUUUGUGUCUCCCCCCAUGUCCCUCUAUGUGCCACCCCAAGCCCCUCUGUGUGCCCCCCCAAGCCCCUCUGUGUGUCUUUCCCACUUGCAGCCCCGUUCACCGUUCCUCCUUGUAGUGUGCCCCCCUGUACCACAAUAUAGGAUCUUGUGUAUCCUCUACCUGAUCUAACAGGAAGCUGCUCAUUGCUUCCAGGGAGCAUUUUUCUGUCAGACCCGGUAGAGGAUACAGAAGAUCCACUACUGUCACCGUUUACCAGGAGUUGGAGCCCAGGUGCAGGAGAUGACUCCAGGAGAAGGCAAAGACCAAAGCACAGUACAGAUGAAGGGGUAAUCCAAAGGCAGGGUCAGACGAGAAGCAGAAGUCAGGGCUGGCAGCGUAGUAUUGUUGUCAGUAAGGCUGGCAGAGGUCAGAGUCCAGAAAAUCAGUCAGCAGAGUAACAGAUCCGACAGGAAAAACCAAACAAACAAAACAACCAGAUACCAGGCCUCAGGCAGAGCUGGCUUUACAGCCUGCUGAUUAGGAGCAGCUGACCCUAGUAGGUAAGGGGCUGCAGGUGGAUCAGCACUGCUCCAUUCAGGCAAGGAGUCAGGAAGCAGACAAAUACAGGUACAUACUGAAGCCCCCUAGUGGACAGCAAGGUAGAGAACCUGACUUUGAUGCAGAAAAUCAAUAACAAAGGAAGCAAGUUAUUUUUUAGGUAUUUUCUUCAGUCGGAUAAUAAAGAGCACAUCAAAGUCACCUUUUCUUUUUAUCUCUGGUAAGUAUUGCUGAUUCGAAUAACUCAAGGUCUUCUUUACUGAUGAUAGAGCCAAUGUAAGUUCUUGUCAGAUCGGGGGACAGUUUGGAAUUGGUAGCCUUACAGUAGACACUUUUAGCCUUUUUCUGUAGGAUUGGUUCAUUUGACUUAUUUACAAGACCAGCUAUGAUAGUGAGUGGCUCUGAAGAUUUUGGUGCAUUACAAUCCCUGGACUGUCCAUUGUAAAGGGAAUCCAGUUUAGGCUCAGACAGGGACUCGGGGUCUGUGUAGGCCUCUGAAUCAUCAGGAUUCGAGAGUGUUGGAACUUUUUGCAGGUUGUCCGCAUUCUUGGAAAUGGCAGUGGAGGCAAGGAGCAGCAACCAUCUGAGGGGAUGCGGCUCUGGCCUUAAGAGCCUGUUCAAAGACCUCUAGAUCUUCUUCGUGGACCACAGUUCCAUUGGAGGCAAUUACAUAGUCUGGGGACAGGAAACCUUAGGGGAACCAGAGGCUGAGGAUUGGAAGGUAGCCACAGCAGCAUCAUUUUGAGGCUCUGGAACAGGAGCAGGGUUAGCUGGGACCACGAUGGUGCCAUUGGUCUGGUUAGGUGGUCUUUUUUGUCCGGACGCAUGAAGAGUAGAACAAUAAAGGUGCCAUGGAGGACUUGUUGGAUGGUGACAGUCCCCACAUGGCCAUGCUUAGGGCGAGGAGGACGUACAGGACAAUAGCUGAUGUAGUGGCCUAUCUUGACACAAUAGAAGCAAAGGCCUUUGGCUAUCCUUCUGGCCUUUUCAUUUACCAUGAGCAUGGUAUUCAGUGUUCCAAUUUGCAUGGGUUCCUCUAUGUCCAUGUUGGGGAUAGGGGUAUAGGUCUCACCUACAGGUUUGGAACAUUGAUCGGGCAGAAAAUUGGUUUCAAAUUGCUCCUGCUUUCUUUCUCUGAACCGGCGGCCUACCUGGGUGACAACAUAUCUUCCAAAGAAGUAUUUACCCCAAUUCUGGCUAGUUCAUCUUUUAAUGCCUCAGAUAGACCCAGUCAGUACUGUUCUAUCAGGCCGGUUUCAUUAUAACAGGUGCCAGAAGCCAAUUCCCGAUCGUGCUGCCCCUGCAGCAGUGAUCGCUCUGACAGAAAAGUUUUAAGAAAGUUUAGGAAAGUUUAAAAAAAAUUAAUAAGCAAAUAAAUUAUGUAAAAAAUUUUUUAAAAAAUUUAAAAAAUACAUUAAAAAAUGCUCAUUACCACUACACCUGGAACAAACUAUAGAAAAAUUUAUCCCACGCUAAGGUUCAAAAUACACCUUUUGAAUUACCCCAGCGUGUAAUCUUUAAUAAAUAGUAUGUGUUUGUGGGGAAGUUUCAAUAACCAACCAUCUAAACUACUCCAAAAUUGAACAUGGACACAGCGUAAAACUUCAAAGUUAGAAAAAAACUGAAAGGCUAUAUCUCAAAUGUGCCCCUUAUACCUCCACAUAUAGACAUAGCUGAGCAACAUAUGUAGUCAGUGGUGUAUCCUGGUUUUGUGCUGCCCUAGGCAGGACAAAACUCAGGUGCCACCCCCACCCAACCCUUCCUCCCUGCCCCGCCUUCUAAAUACACACACACAUUCACUCACAGACACACACUCACUUACAGACAUACACACACACUCACUUACAGACAUACACACACACAGUCAGACACACACACUAGCUAACAGACACACACUAAAAGACACACACACACUAACAGACACACACACGCUAACAGACACACACACACACACUAACAGACACACACUAACAGACACACACACACACUAGCAGACAGACACACACUCACUAACAGACACACACACACACACUUUUUUUAUUUAACCCCCCCCCCAGCCUCCUUACCUUUAGGAAUGCUGAGGGGGGUUCUCCCUCUCCAUGGGGCUGCCGGUCGGGCGGGCGGCGCUGGCGAGGGAGCACUUUCCCCUGAGCGCUCUGCUCAGCUCCGUCAUAUUGCGGCUCCCAGCAUCUCUUUGCGGCUUGCGAGGGAGCUGAGCAGACAGCUCAGGGGAAAGUGCACCCUCGCCGGCCAGCCGCCAGCUCCGACCGAUUGACCGACCAGCAGCCCACCUGGCUUCACAGUUAGCCACCAGGCUAACAAGACAUUUGCCCUGGGCAUUUGGGGCAGCUUUUUUUGUAGCCCCCUGGAAAAUGCCGCCCAAGGCAAAUGCCUUGUUUGCCUCGCGGCUAAAGCAUCCCUGUAUGUAGUAUUAUACAGUCGUAGCACACAUAAGGUUUGCAAAAUAUACUGUGCAAACUCACUUUGUGUGUCAAGGCAGAAAAAAACGCUUAUUACCACUACACUUGGUACAAGCUAGCGGAAAAAUCAUCCCACGCCAAGGUUCAAAAUAUGCCUUUUGAAAUACCCUGGGAUGUCUUCUUUAAGAAAUGGUAUGACUUUAUGGGGUAUUUGGAUUAUAUAGCCUGGUAAAAUACUCUAAAAUGGGGCAUGAGCACAGUGUAAAAAUUGAAAGUUUGAAAAAAAACUGGAAUGACUGUCUCAAAUGUGCCCCUUCCAUGUCCACAUAUACCUGGCAAAGGUACUUAUGAGGUUAUUGCUGAACUCAGACGACAUAGCUGAGAAACAUAUGAAGUAUUAUACAGUCAUAGCACACAUACGAUUUGCAAAAUAUACUGUGCAAACUCACUUUGUGGGUCAAAAAGGCAGAAAAAACGCUUAUUACCACUACACUUGGUACAAGCUAGCGGAAACAUUAUCCCACGCUAAGGUUCAAAAUAUGGCUUUUGAAAUACCCUGGGAUGUCUUCUUUAAGAAAUGGUAUGCCUUUAUGGUGUAGUUGUAAUAUGUAGCCUGCUCAAGUGCUCCAAAGUGGGACACGGACGCAUUAAAACCCUCCAUGAAAAAUCACACUUAAAAACCUGAACUUCUCACGUCUCUUUUAAAACACUGUAACUUCACAAAAUAGUGUCUAGGUCAUACAUUGGGCAUAUUGUUUUACUCAGAAGGUGUAACUAAGUAUAAUUUGGAGAUUUUUAUGACAGUGGUACAUAUUAAGUGUAUGAAAUACUCGGCAAAAAUGGCAUCCCCCCCCCCCCUCACCACAAACAUUGACAUAAAUUGGUGAAAAAGUGGUGACAAGUUAAGGCACAAUAUACACCAUAUAAGAUUCGCCAGAUUGGUUACGUUGCCUUUGAGACUGUAUGGUAGCUCAGGAAUGAGAAUUACCCCCAUGAUGGCAUACCAUUUGCAAAGUAGACAACCCAAGGUAUUGCAAAUGUGGUAUAUGUCUAGUCUUUGUUAGUAGCCACUUAGUCAGAAACACUGGCCAAAGUUAGUGUUAAUAUAGCCACUGGCCAAAGUUAGUGUUAAAAUAUUGUUUGUAUGUGAAAAAUUUAAAAAACGAAUUUGAACACCAAUUCUGGCCAGUGUUUGUGACUAAGUGGCUACUAAAAAAGACUGGACAUACCCCAUUUGCAAUACCUUGGGUUGUCUACUUUUGCAAAUGGUAUGUCAUCAUGGGGGGGAUUUUCAUUCCUGGGCUACCAUACGGUCCCAAAGGCAACGUAACCAAUCUGGCGAAUUUCAAUGUGAAAAAACUGAAACGCAAGCCUUAUAUUUGACUCUGUAACUUUUGAAAACACCAUAAAACCUGUACAUGAGUAUACUCAGGAGACUUCGCUGAACACAAAUAUUAGUGUUUCAAAACAGUAAAACGUAUCACAACAAUUAUAUCUUCAGUGUAAGUGCCAAUUCCCCUAGUGUCCGACUGACAGGAAGGUAGUGUAAAUGAGGUUAGGGAGAGAGAAGAGGCACAGGAUCCCCAGAAAACAAGGGACCGGGUAAUCCGGUCUAAACGCAGAUGAAAAGCCUCACAAAAAAAAUAAAUAAAUAAAUCUCUCAAUUCACCCUAAAAGUUACCUCAACACCGUGGUCUAACCACUAGUGUCUACCUGAACCAACUCUCCCUACUAAAGUUAUAAAUAAAUAAACACCUAAAAAUCAAUAACCAUAGUGGUAACAAAAAUAAAAAAGUGCUACCAAGUGCAGAGGUUAAAGAAAAAGGAAACGCUCGACACGCGUUUCGGCAUGUUCAAAACGUCGUCGUCAGGAGCCUGCGAACAUGAGCAGCUUGUUGUUCCAUUUAAAUACCUAAUGCUGAUUAAACAUGCCAUCAGCUGUUCAAUGUGGGAGGUCCUGAGGGGCGGAGUAGCUAAACUCUAUUCUGCAGUCUACCAGGGGUGUAGAUAUAGAUUUCGUUCUACAUGUAUUUUGAUAUCAAUAUAUAUAUUAAUUUUAAAAUACAGUUAGAACGAAUUUACACAUAUAUUUUUUUUAACCUUAUUUACUUAUAUAUAUAUAUAUAUAUAUAUAUAAUCAAUAUCAUUGUACGUGUAUUUUGAUAUUAAUAUAUAUUUACAAUUAUAUAUAUAUAUAUAUUAAUAUUAUAAUACACUUAAACAGUGUAUGUGUAUGUAUAUAUGUGUGUACGUGUGUAUGUAUAUAUAUAUAUAUAUAUAUAUAUACACACAUACACACACUUAGAUCAUAUAUAUAAUAAAUACAUAUAUGAUCUAAGUAUAUAUUUUAAACUGUAACUUUUUUUUUACUAUUUACAGGUAGCAGGGGGAGUACCUGUAAUUACAGGCACUGCCCCUGCUGGCAUUGCUGUGGCCGGCUAUGCCGUCCAUGUGAUCGUGAGGUCCUCGCGAUCACAUGGCCCAGGGAGGCCGGAGAGGUAGGAGGGGGACUCCCUGGGCUCCCAGGAGAGUCCCCACACCGCGAUCGCUAGCGUGGGAUCGCUGGCGACCAGGUAAGUACACAGGAUGGCAUGGGCGUUCUAUGCCGCCCACCAGCGUUUAGAGCCGGGUCCCCAAGGACAUCAUAGAACGCCCACCGUCCUUAACCCCUUAAGUCCUAAGGUUUGUGAGGCAAAGCCUCUAUGCAUCAGAUUUGUUGUUCCAGCACAUCAGAUAUAUGCUCAAUCAAACUGAGCUCUGGCCAAGCCAACACCUUGAACAUGUUUGCCAUGUUUCUUAAGCUAUUCCUGAACAAUUUUUUGCUGUGUGGCAGGUGCAUGAUCCUGCUAAAAAAAAAGGAAACACCAUUGUCCAGCCAGAUUUACGACUGAGAGAAGAUAUUAAUAAAUACAUUAUCUGAUAAUUGAAGUCUGGCAUAGUCUGCUGUAUUGUAGGGAAAAAAACUGUUUGUAUAUUCUUCCCAAUGCUCACUUGUGAAAAGUCAUACCUGGAGACAAGAGGGCUGCAUUAUAUCCCUGGCAGAAAUGCAUUCUGCCCAGAAAGGUCAUAAUGUUUAUGUUAUAUGUAUAAUGAAGCAAUUUAGGGCUUUCCAUCUUUAUACCGCGAACAGUUUUUAGACUACAGCUUACAUUAUUUUAGGUCAGAAAUUUGUUGCAGACAAUUGUGAGUUAUGGUCCAAGAACAGCUAAUUAUGUUGUUCAUUUAGAAAAACUUUGCAUUAUACUGAUUCAAUAAACGUAUUUGCAGCUGCUACUAAACUAGAAUUCCAAUGAUUUUAGAGACAAGAAAUGAAGUGUAUUGCGGUCUUUGCAUAGUAUAAGUUCACAAAUGCUAAAAUAUUAUUAAGUUCACAAAUGCUAAAUAUCCAUUUUGUUUGACGUCAAGCUUGAACUUGAAUGGCAGCAAACGUCAGCAUUUUAUUUAAAGAUGUCCAACUAUAGACAGUAAUCCAUAGUUGUAAUCAAGCCCUCGUGUGCUAAAUCAAGUCACUAAUUAUAUUGUCAUGGUUACAAGGUACUUCGGAGAAGAGCUAUCAUUAUAAGUUAACCCAAGUACUGAGAGAGCCUGAUUUAACUCCAUAAAACUGCUGAAUAAACAUGCACGUUGCCCUCUUUAUUCAGCAAACAUUAGUGUCCUACGUGUAAGUAUCUGUUCCUUAUAGAAGCGCAAAAAAAUUGUUACUUAUUUUUCUCUCAUUUCUGUGACUGAUGCAAGGUAAAUGUACACUCCAAGUACCAUAGCCACUACAAUAUGCUGGUGCCUUCCAAUAUAAAUAGUCAACCCAUUUGCUAACAUUUUGACUUUUUCUGGGAUCUGCCUGGGGUUAGUCAAUGCUUUUCUGACAGCCAUACACUCUGUUUUAAGUUAAGCCCAGUGUUACAGGGUGUUAAGACCUGCAGUGGCUAUGGUGCUGCGGUCUUGAGUUCCCUCUCCCAACAGCUGAGCAUGAGUGAUUAUAGCUGCAGCAGGGAAUAGAGGAAUAAGAUAGAUGAAAUGCAGUUCCAAGGUGAUUCUUCCCAGCAAGUUGAAUAUCCCCCAAACAUGAGCCUAGACUUCAUGAAGGGUGUAACAGGAAUAACUUUUAUUGACAACACACAGGCUUUUAUGAGAAAUCCUCCUGCAAGAGGACCUCCCACCGCAAACAAAGACAAUAACCAAUCAACACACAGAUUUACAGUAAUACACGCCUCCUCUCUGCCUGGGAGAUAUUGAGAUAAGUUAAGGAAUAAACCAAUUAUCUCCAGGCAGAGAGCACACAAUUUCCCCAAAACUUAGAACACCCCUUUCCCCACAAGGUAUCCCCACAAAUUACAUAUCCCCUGAUAGCCCCGAUCUGGGGGACAAACAUAUCCAAAUUUCACCCAGAUCGGUUCAGGGGUUCUGAAAAAGUGUGGAGGGUCCCUUUUACCGACCACACACGCAGCUCCUGCCCAAAACAAUUCCAUGAAUUCAGCGUGUGCGCUCGGUCAAUUCACAAAACUGUAAAAAACGAACAAAAGUCCCAAAUGGAUCCCCCUGGCCCAUAGUAGCGAUUGCUCCCCUUGUCCGUUCGCACAGAACUACCGAAUGAGGCUUUCCUGGCUGUUCGGGAAAUAUGAGAAGCGGGCGUUCGGUAGUUUCCAGCGGUAGUUCGUAAGGUCGAGUGUCCGAUUUUAGUUCCAGAAACUCGACGACCAAAUCCCACUGGCUCUCCUCGUGCGAACAAGAUGGCCGCAGUUUUCUUUUCCAUGUGGCAUUCGUUUAUACGAACAGCGGCCGCCCAGGGAGCACUUAAUAGCUGGUUCCUUUGAAGUAAAUGAGCCAGGAGGGUGGUCGGCGUUCGGUAGUUUCAAACUACCGAACCAAUCCAUUCAUUAUACAAGAAAUAACACAUAAAAAUACUGAAUAAAAAGGAGAAAAUUACAGGUAAAAGUCAAUUUUCUUCACACAGGGCUUAGCUCAUGGACUGAGACUGAUCAGCAAACCCUCUCAUGCACUGAGCUGCCCUGCAUGGUAUGGUUUAGCUGAGGUGAGCCAAUGGAAGCUCCAUGUAGGAGACUCUGGUACUCCAUAGAUGCAGUGACUGGCACUAGCAGACUCCUGGUAAAAGGGUUAGCAAACAGUUUGACUACUUACAUUGGCACCAUAACUACAGGACUGCAUUUUCACUUUAAAAUAACAAUGCAUUCAUGUAAUGUUUAUUUUUGUAGUUAUCUGCUACUUUAACCCCUUCAGGACUGGACUGUUUUGACCAUGUUGUAUGUUAAGGACCAGAGCUGUUUUAACACUUUUGUGGUGUUUGUGUUUAGCUGUAAUUUUCCUCUCAUUUACUGUUCCCAUACAAGUUAUAUAUUGUUUUUUUCAGGCAAAAAAGGACAAAAGGGGCUUUAUUUACAUACCAUUAUUUGUAUCAUGUCAUAUAAUUUACUUUAAAAAAAAUAAAAGAUGGUGAAAAAUUUUAAAAAACAUGUUUUUUUUUACUUUUACUUGAAAAAUCUUUUACUUAUCUACAAAAACUUUAUUUAAAAAAACUGCUAAAUAGAUUCAAAAUUUUGUCCUGAGUUUAAAAACACCCAGUGUUUACAUGCUUUUUUUUUUGUUGCAAGUUAUAGGGCUAUAAAUACAAGUAGGAAAUUGCUGUUUCAAAAUAUAUAUUUUUAAAUUUUAUCAAUGGUAACAUUGUAACACUGUUAUCUGUCAUAAAUCUCUGAAUCACACCUCACAUUUACAUAUUUUUUUAAAGUAGACAACCCAGGGUAUUCAAUAUGGGUUACGUCCAGUCUUUUUUAGACGCUACUUAGUCACAAACACUGGCCAAAGAUAGCAUUUAUAUCUGUUUGUGUAUUAAAAAUGUAAAAAAACUAUUAUGAACGCUAACUUUGGUCAGUGUUUUUGACUAAGUGGCUGCUAAAAAAGACUGAACAUACCCCAUUUGCAAUACCUAUAUCCGACCCUGUAACUUUUUAAAAACACUAUAAAACCUGUACAUAGGGAGUACUGUUAUACUCGGGAGACUUCACGGAAUACAAAUAUUAGUGUUUCAAAACUGUUAAACGUACAAAAGGUACCAAGGGGCAUGAACCCUAAAUAUAUGAAACAGAACUGAAACCUAAAGUGGGGUGGAAAACCACUCACAUAUAGUACCUUUAAACGUAAAAAUUCGUACGAGUGGUAUAAACCUUUAAUAAAGUCGAAUAUUAAAAUAUGAAAAACCUAACUAAAAAAGUAGGUUAUAUGUACAAACCAAACACAAGUGACAAUAGUGAGCAAACAAGUGAAAGUACACCUUAAAAAUCUGUGUAUAAUAAAUUAUUUUAGAAAUAGAUAUUGCUUUUUGGAUGUUGGAUGUGUCAUUAUUAUUCAUUCUUUUCCAAAAACUUUUCUCUAUAUACAGUUCUUGGUCACAGUGUGUAUUACCUUUUAUCUUAAUAUUUGUGUAUCGAUUCCUUUUUGCUUCAUAGUGUUCUUAAAUACAAUUCCUUGUAUUGUACAUUGUUUUGUAUUACUUGUAGUGUUUCGUGUGUUAGUGUCUUAGUGUGAGGUAUAUCAAUUUUAUAAAAUCUAAAAAUGUAUUUUUCCCCUUUUUAAUUAACCUAAUCUUCCUAUUUUCUUUCUUCAAUUUCUGUUCUCUUUCUUUCUCUUACUCCUUUUAUCUCUCCUCUAGUGUUCCGUGUGUAUCUAUGAAUAUGCCGUACCCGCAAAAACCCAAAUUGCCAUUUCAAUCAACCAUCAACUUUUCAGAUUGUGUAUUUAAAUCUCUUUAACCUUCUAUCCCUUGCCCUCCCCAUCCCCCUUCCUGCCUCUUUCCUGUGCCAAACAGAAUAUCAUUUAAACUGAAAAAAACUUUUUAAAAAAAGUCAUCUUCCUCUUCUUUCUUGUCAUCUCCUUGCUCUGUCUUCUUCUUAGUAUAUGGAUAUACAUUCAUAUUCCGUGUUUCUUAAUGCCCAUUCACAUUCUCCUUCCUCUCACUUUCAUUCUCUUGAUUAUUGGCCAUCGACUUCUGGGAUCAGGUGUCUCUCUUGUAGCCAAUCUUUCAGCUUUUCUGGGGAGUAAAUUGCAUAUGUUCUUUUUUUCCUUUUUUUUUAUUUUUUUUAAAUUCUUUAUUUUUGUAGUGCAUAGGUUAGUUAACAAGCUUACAGUGACGUUCUGAUAUGAAAAAGUACAAUUAGAUUGAAAGCAAGAUCUUCAUAAAAUGUCAGAUAGAGCUUUUUUUGUUUGUUUGUUUAAUUGCAUAUGUUCUUAAAUCUUUAUAAUGCCAGAGUCUUACAUGGAAUCCCCAUCUGUAUUGAAUUUUGUUAGCUCUUAAAAUUUCUGUAUAUUUUUCGUAGGAUCUUUUGGUUCUUGUAUAUAUCGAUAAAUCUAAGUAAACGAUUAUUUUUUCAUAAGCAGCAUGAAUUUUUCCUUCUCUGAAUGAGUUUGUUAUGACUAGUUUCAUUUGAAAGGACGAACAGAUCAUGUCGUCUCUGGGGAUAUUUGUAUACAGAUGUUUAGGUUUGAGUAUCCUAUGCAAUGGUUCCAUUAAAGGGCCAUGUGUCUCAUUUUUUAUAUUUAAACUGGCAAACAAUUUGUUUCAAAAAAGGUUUUUCUGUGGUAACUUCUUUUAAGUUCCUUACUUUUAAGUUGCUGCAGUGUGACCUGUCUUCAAAGUCUGCGUGUUUUUGUUCCAAUUUUGCUUUUUAAUUGAUCAAUAUCAUUCUGGUUUUGUGUCGAUACUUGUUCCAUAUGUUUAAUAUUUUCAGAAUUUUCAAUUACUUUGCCAUUGAUGUUAAAUAAAUCCUUUUAAAACUCUUCUGAAAAGCAUUGAAUUUCGUUUUUGAUCUUUAGAAUUUGUAUUUCCAGAGCACUGUUAAGCAGAUAUCCAGUCACCCUUUGGAGCUCAGUUACUGUCUCAACUCUUUCUGCUCUCUCUUGUUCCCCACUCUUCGUUGUUUCAUCCAAAGAGUUGCUUUGAACCCCUGUUUUCUGAGGUUGAGGUGAAAAAAGAUAAACGUUUCUCCAAUGGUUCAUUUUUGUUCUCCAUUUUCUUGAGUUUUUCUAGCUGCCAUUUUGUAGCAUUGAAUUUGAAAUGAGGAGAAAACAAAAAGUCUGUUUGCUAUGUCUCCUGCAAAUCUCCAAGCCUAAAGCAGCCUAAAGACGUACUCCUUCUUCCACCUCUUAGCUCCAUUUGUUAAUUUCCUAUUGAUAUUUCCCCCACUCCCACCCUUUUUUUUCUUUCUUUUCCUUUUUCUCUUCUUUUUGUCCUCCUUUCUUACCAUUUUUAUAUAUUUUUUCCUUCACUCUCACUGCUUUUCUCACCUUACUCAAAAAAGUUAAGGUUUAAUGUAGCUAACUACCAAUCAAGGGAGCAAAGGGGACCGAGGUUUGAGAGGAGAGAAAUGAAAAACAAAAAAUAGGCACUGUUUAAUAUUGACAAACAAAAAUGCAAAAUUACAGUUUUAUUCUGUGUAUAUAUAUAUAUAUAUAUAUAUAUAUAUAUAUACACACACACACAGACAGAAUAAAAUUUUUAUUUCAAUUUUCUUUUCUUUCGGGGAGCAUACAGCUCACUCACAUGUCCUUAGUGUAAGGCAGGGGACCCCUUUCUCGAGAUCGAGUCUGCUGGUUGUGUAAAGCUAUUUCCACCACGCAGGGCUCAGCGUUCUCCACAGCACUAGUUCCUUAUUGCCAACAUAAACAGACAGUUCUCCACCUUAUACUGUCGGCGUCUGUCUCAUUUUCCUGUUGUUUUGUACAAGACUCCCAGGUCUUCCAGCCCUCGAGGAUGCUCUUCAACCCUGCAGAAGCAUUUCAGGGUUCUUACCAAGAGAAGUCUUCUUUAGAAAAGUUUUUAUCCCACUGCCAUCCAACCUAGAUCUAGGUUCAGUUAGCCACCUCAGAAGCCAUGGCAUUCUCCCUCCAUCCGUCUUCGACUGGCUCCUAAACCCACAAGCGGCAUGCUACAUCAUCGCUCCACCCCGAUGAUAUAAAAAAAAAAAAGUUUAAUUGCUCUUUAACAAGUUAAGGAACACAUACUCAUGUUAGAAAGGAAUUAAGAGACCCGAGUGAAGUUAUAGUUUCAAUUAUAGUAUAGGAGAGUGCUAAGUAAUCAAAACUGACACAAUGCUGAAACGAACAGGGUUGUUUACUCAAGAGAGAAUCACUGAGAAUUCAAAGUGAAUUUCAAAUUUAAGGUCAAAACAGCUAAAUAAAAAACAGAAUUUAGUUGGAGAAUGUUUCUUAGCUUACUAUUUUGGCCUUAGUUUUGAAGACACUAUAUCUUAUUUCUUUCCCAAAAUGCCAUACUUCUUAAAAAAUGUAUUCCAUUUCCAAGUGAUAUUACUUCAUCUAUAUCAUACUUAAUCCUGUCAGAUUUGCCACAUUUAAUUCAUCAAUUGUCAUAAAUGUUUACAUGAACUAUUACAAAUACUGGAUACAUGCUUGUCUAGAUUUUAUGUAAUAAAAAUGCUGACCUGGAUACCAUAAGUAAUAUUCUAUAUCCAACAUACUGCACCCACUUCAGUGUAAGUGCCCGCUAUUUUUGUGUGUGCAUUGACAGUGAAAGUAUGUGUUUCUUAGUUUGCAAUAUCAGUGUUUUUCUGUAUGUGCAAUGUCAGUGUAAGUAUGGAGGGUGUAGUGUCAGUUCAUAGUUACAUAGGCUGAAUAGAGACAUGUGUCCAAGUUCAGUCUUCCUCACAUUUGUUUUUUUGCUUUUGAUCCAAAAUUGAAUGCCAUUGAUUUUGUAUCAGUUUCUGAAGGCCAAUGUUAGUGUACAUGUAUUUGUUUCUGUGUGUGCAUGAAUGUUUGUGUGCAGUAAUAAGGCCUGGACUGGGUAAUGGCCAUGGGCAGUAGCUCCCGUAGGAUCUAUCUAACUGACUCCUGCAGUGCCCCUUGAGAAACAUGUAAAACACAUACUAAUUGAGACAGGAGGGGGGAGAUUGAACUGCUUUGUCUUACAUAUCAGAGUGUUGCUGUGGGUUACCAUGGCAAUGCUCUGAUACUUUCCUUUGUGCCAGCUGGGAGUAGAUGUUUGCAAUUGUUGGAUGUGCAGACAAAGUGCCCUUUCCACUGGACAACCAGGGUCCAAGGUAAGUGACAGGGAGGGGACAAUAAAUGUUUGAGAUUUUUAAAAGCCCCUGCCCCUACACAUUACAUCCUAUAUGCCCAAAAUAUGACAGCCCUUAUCCCCUACACACACUACAGCCCAUGUCUCCCCUAGCACUUCAGCCUCUAUGGCCCUCACCACAGGUUGUCUACCCCACACAUGCAACACCACAAGUAGGCUCUCCACACAAACACACAACACCCCAAGUAGUCUACCCACACACAAUAUCAGGAGCACCCUACCACACACAUGCAGCAUCAGGUAGGGUAAACUUCUUGGGGGCUUGUGUCUGUGAAUAUUUUUUUGUAGUGUAAAACACAUACAUUGCAAUAGCACAUGUAAAACACAUACAAAACCACCGGCAGCCUUCUCAUACACACACUCUCCCAAACCUGUCCCUCUUUUGUCUUCUGGUAUUCCACUAUGGGGACAGCAGAGUCACGUGUCUGUGCAUGCAGUGUCGCAUGCAUUUGGGUGUGUAGUGUGAAUGUAUUGUGUAAAUAAAGUGUUUGUAAUAUAAGUCUGUAUCCCUUGUUUGCCUUAUUCCUAUUACAUAAAAUAACCAGACCAGGUGUUUGGCAGAUCAUAUCUGAAGAUGUGUACCUGGGGAAAGAAAUGUGUAAGCAUUCCUGUAGGGAGUUUGGACAUUGCCUGUAGCUUAUGCCAUUUUUUUGAUUUUGAGUUUGAAGUAUGUAUUUUUUAUUUAAUUUUUUUUUGAAGAAUUUACAGUGUUUCUAGAUUUUCAGAUAUGGGAUAACAUUUCUAUGAGUUUUUUAUUUUGUUUAAGUGUUAGUUUUAUUUUAAAGGAGAUUAAUUUAUUAAGAAGCAUUAGUGAAUGUAAACUGUUCUGAUGUAAUAGCAAAUCAUUUUAUCGUGUUCACACAUCAGUCAGCAUACUGCUUUCUUUAUUAAGGGAAACCGUAUUCACCCUAAGCAUGUUAGUGACUAUUACUUAGAAUGUAGUCUCAUAAUUGUCCAGUGAGCAUUGCUAAGAAUUCAGUCUGAACAAAGGAGCAAUGUUAAAUUCUUGCAAACACAAAUGAUUUUACAAAUCAAUUAAUACAUGUCUCUUUCAUAUUCAGUUAACGAACAGUUGGCACAUACGCGUGACCCCAAGGAAGCCCUGCAGGAUUACUACCUCCUGUACAAGCAGCUAAAGACCUCUAAAUGGCAGCACUCCAGGAAAACGUAAAUUUAGUUCACAUCAAGCAAAGAGCAAGGACAGGAGAACAUUAUAUAAUGUUGCUAGCAAGUGAACUCACAUGGGAAUAGCAAAAAAAUCAAGAAGCGCUGCUUGCAGCAUCAGGAAUAAAAAAGGUGCUGCCAAUUAGGAUGUAUUUCUGGAAAAAGCUGUGUCCACCUAAGACUUUAAAGCCAGAGCUGUCGUGAAUGCAUCACUGAUGGAUUUUCUCAAGGUUACUGGCAGAGCCUUUGGAUCUGCCGCUCUAUUAUUUAUGCUUCAUCUGACCAAACAUCCAUAUUGUUACCUAAUAAUAAAAAAGCUGUAACCUUUCCCUUUUUCAACUCAGAAAUGAAUAUAUUUUAUGUAAUGAAACAUUACAAACUUGUUUUCGAUUUUAUAUUUUUAAAGGGACACUGGAGGCUUGAGUUGACCCAUUUUUAAUGCAUUAAAAAUAUAUACAAAAUAAUAAUAAAACAGAUAAUCACAUUUGACGUUUAUUUGCUGCACAACCUCAGGCCUUGCAGAUUCUUCUGUGAAUCCUGACCAGGAAUUCAUAACAUUAUGCACAACAGUACUUUUUGCAGCAUAUGUAGAAUCACUGCAGGCUGUGCGGAAGGGGCAGAAAGGGUAUUGCUGGUGGCACAAAAGUCAUUAAAAAAAAGAAAAAUAAACAUUAAUGAAAGAAAAUACAAAUUUUGUAAAAGCCUAAAUGUAGACCAGAUGGGAAAACUAGAUUUAAAUUGCUUUCCACUGUAAACAUUGUUAAUAAAUCAUAUUUAUGGCCUCUUUAUCGGUUUAGUGAUGCCAAUUACUAGUGAGACCAAUCUAAUGCAUAACAGUUAGCAAGUACCAGCACCCCCAUGGUUUAAUUAUGUGAUUGUUAAGGCAUAAUGCACUGAUAAUACUGCAGACAGCCAAUCAAUACUCAUAACUUACAUUUGUUGUUUUUCAUCCCCUUCUUCCUUGAAAUCCUUACAGGAAGACAUUUCAGAACAGGCAAAUAAAUAAAUUAAAGGACCACUAUAGGCAACCAGACCACUUCAGCUUAAUUAAGUGGUUUGGGUGCCUGGUCCAGCUUGGUUUAACCCUUUUUUCUAUAAACUGCUAUGUUUAUAUUAGGGUUAAUCCAGCCUCUAGUGGCUGUCUCACUGACAGACGCUAGAGGCGCUUGCAUGCUUCUCACUGUGAAAAUCACAGUGAGAAGACGCCAGCGUCCAUAGGAAAGCAUUGUGAAUGCUUUCCUAUGAGACUGGCUGAAUGCGCGCGCGGCUCUUGCCGUGCAUGAGCAUUCAGCCGAGGAAGAGGAGGAGGAGAGCUCCCCGUCCGGCGCUGGAGAAAGAAGUAAGAAAGAAGUAAGUUUAACCCCUUCCACCCCCUAGAGCCAGGUGGGAGGGGAACCCUGAGGGUGGGGGCACCCUCAGGGCACUAUAGUGCCAGGAAAACAAGUAUGUUUUCCUGGCACUAUAGUGGUCCUUAAAAGGUUAUUACUGUACAUGUGUGUGGGUGUUUUUAAUACAUCAGUAAGGCGAUAAAAAAGAGGUGAAAAAACAUGCCGACAGCAAAGUCAAGUUAUUUUAUUAAUACAUGAACACACUCUCAGACAGCCAAAAGAAAAAUCAACCAUGUGUUAUGUCGGAAAGCAGUAAGACAUAACUAUAAUUAGUUAUUUAUAUAGCACCAACAUAUUCCACUGUGCUGUUCAAUAGGUAAACAAGACAAACACUGGAACAGUACGUCGAGCCGUGGAGAGGUGGCCGCUCUUCCCAUCCCUACUUUUCCUUUGAAGCCUUGCUAACUCCCUAACUACGAAUUGAGUACCCCUGUAAGAUAUUAUUUCUUUGGGGAUAUCAUGUAAGUGAAACACUUCUUUGGCAAAGAUUUUGAGAGAUGAGGGUAAUUUAGGCAAAGUAAUAAAGUGAGCCAUUUUAGUGAAUCUGUCUACAACAGUCAAGAUUACAGUCUUUUUGUCUGACAUAUGUAGUUCAAUAAUAAAGUCUAUUGUUAUACUAACCCAUGGUUUGUUUGGUAUUUCUAAUGGUUGAAGCAGACCACAUGGGAGCGUAUUAGGUAAUUUGGUUUUAGCGCAAGUCUCACAAGCCAUAACAUAAUCUCUGGUAUCUUUACUUAUGGAAGGCCACCAGAAUUCAUUAGCUAUAAGAGAAUAAGUCUUAUGAAUGCAACUUUACUGUCAUGGAAUCAGGUAAGUAUUUCCAUUUGUAGGUCAGGAGGCACAUAAGUUUUACCUUCAGGUGCUUGUUCCGGUGCUUGGGAUUGUCUCUUCUCUAUCUCAGAGAUAAGAAGAUAUUGUAUCUUGAUCCGAGUAUUAGCUAUGAUAUAAAAGAAUACAAAAGAAGUAUAUUUCGCUUUAUAUUACCAAUACUUACCCUAUAUAGAGAGCACUAUUGGCUGUCUUUUGUUGUUCCAUAGACCUACCUCAACAUUAUCCUGAUGUGCCUUACUACUACUCUACUGUGCACCUGUAUCAGGAAUAUCCUGCAAGCAGGGAUUAAAAACCACCUAGAUUACCUAGAGCUGGUUAUAGCUCUACCAAAUGUAAGUUGACAACUGUUUUUAGUGUUGUUUGUCCUUUUUUCUACAACAUAACUGCACUAUUGUUUCGCUUUUGUUUUAUGCCUUUUUACAUAUACGGCAUAUACGGCUGUCAAGUGAAGUUGUCCAAUAAGGACUAGAAGACUUGUUGUUACCUUUAAGACUGUGCCUUUACCAAUAUGGUAUUUCCUUUACAUUUUUAUCUGGACAUUUUAUUGUGGACUUUUUCCUG